rnacentral:tRNA from 1 species
UCCCUGGUGGUCCAGUGGUUAAGACUCUGCUCUCCCAAUGUAAGGGGCACAGGUUCAAUCCCUGGUCAGGGAG